rnacentral:rRNA from 1 species
GUUUGAUCCUGGCUCAGAUUGAACGCUGGCGGCAUGCCUAACACAUGCAAGUCGAACGCGAAAUCACCCUCGGGUGAAAGUAGAGUGGCGGACGGGUGAGUAACGCGUGGGAAUCUGCCUAGUAGUGGGGGAUAACUCGGGGAAACUCGAGCUAAUACCGCAUACGCCCUACGGGGGAAAGGCUUCGGCCGCUAUUAGAUGAGCCCGCGUCAGAUUAGCUAGUUGGUAGGGUAAAGGCCUACCAAGGCGACGAUCUGUAGCUGGUCUGAGAGGACGAACAGCCACACUGGGACUGAGACACGGCCCAGACUCCUACGGGAGGCAGCAGUGGGGAAUAUUGGACAAUGGGCGAAAGCCUGAUCCAGCAAUGCCGCGUGUGUGAAGAAGGCCUGCGGGUUGUAAAGCACUUUCAGUUGGGAAGAUGAUGACGUUACCAACAGAAGAAGCACCGGCUAACUCCGUGCCAGCAGCCGCGGUAAUACGGAGGGUGCAAGCGUUAAUCGGAAUUACUGGGCGUAAAGCGCGCGUAGGCGGCUAGGUCAGUCAGAUGUGAAAGCCCCGGGCUUAACCUGGGAAUUGCAUUUGAUACUGCCUGGCUAGAGUGUGGUAGAGGGAAGUGGAAUUCCAGGUGUAGCGGUGAAAUGCGUAGAUAUCUGGAGGGACACCAGUGGCGAAGGCGACUUCCUGGACCAACACUGACGCUGAGGUGCGAAAGCGUGGGUAGCAAACAGGAUUAGAUACCCUGGUAGUCCACGCCGUAAACGAUGUCAACUAGCCGUCGGAUUCAUUUAAGAAUUUGGUGGCGCAGCUAACGCGAUAAGUUGACCGCCUGGGGAGUACGGCCGCAAGGUUAAAACUCAAAGGAAUUGACGGGGGCCCGCACAAGCGGUGGAGCAUGUGGUUUAAUUCGAUGCAACGCGAAGAACCUUACCAGCCCUUGACAUCCUCGGAACUUUCCAGAAAUGGAUUGGUGCCUUCGGGAACCGAGUGACAGGUGCUGCAUGGCUGUCGUCAGCUCGUGUCGUGAGAUGUUGGGUUAAGUCCCGUAACGAGCGCAACCCUUGUCCUUAGUUGCCAGCACGUAAUGGUGGGAACUCUAAGGAGACUGCCGGUGACAAACCGGAGGAAGGUGGGGAUGACGUCAAGUCAUCGCGGCCCUUAUGGGCUGGGCUACACACGUGCUACAAUGGCCGGUACAGAGGGCCGCAAACCCGCGAGGGGGAGCCAAUCUCACAAAACCGGUCGUAGUCCGGAUCGCAGUCUGCAACUCGACUGCGUGAAGUCGGAAUCGCUAGUAAUCGCAGAUCAGAAUGCUGCGGUGAAUACGUUCCCGGGCCUUGUACACAUCGCCCGUCACACCAUGGGAGUGGGUUGCAAAAGAAGUGGGUAGCUUAACCUUCGGGAGGGCGCUCACCACUUUGUGAUUCAUGACUGGGGUGAAGUCGUAACAAGGUA